GUGCAAAGACACACAUGUUGAUGAAAAACUCAUCUGCUCCGGGGUAGACAGCUCUCAACUCCAAGCACUGAAUGAUGACAAUUCUACUGAAGCCGUGUGCAACUUCACCAUCACUGCACAUGCCUGU